AUUGAUUCAUCAUGGAAGUGAAUCGGGUGACUCUUCCAUGUUGAUCUCUCCUCCACCACCUCCUUAAGGUGAUGGCAAAUUUCUGAGUUUCCCGAAUUUGCUUCCAUGGUGAAUCAAUC
rnacentral:pre_miRNA from 1 species